rnacentral:rRNA from 1 species
UACAGAGGUCCCAAGCGUUGUUCGGAUUUACUGGGCGUAAAGGGUGCGCAGGCGGCCGUGUGUGUGAGGCGUGAAAGCCCGGGGCUUAACCCCGGAAUUGCACCUCAAACUACAUGGCUAGAGCAUUGGAGAGGGUAGCAGAAUUCAUGGUGUAGCAGUGAAAUGCGUAGAUAUCAUGAGGAAUACCAGAGGCGAAGGCGGCUACCUGGACAAUUGCUGACGCUCAGGCACGAAAGCGUGGGGAGCAAAAGGG